rnacentral:tRNA from 4 species
GCCGGGGUAACUCAUCGGUAGAGUGUUUCGCUGAAAACGAAAAAGUAGUGGGUUCGACUCCCACCCCCGGCACAA